ACACGACUACAUUAGAUACCCCUGUAGUCCCAGCCGUAAACUAUGCGCGUUAGGUGUACUGGUGACCACGAGUCACCGGGGUGCCGAAGGGAAACCGUGAAACGUGCCGCCUGGGAAGUACGGUCGCAAGGCUGAAACUUAAAGGAAUUGGCGGGGGAGCACCACAACGAGUGGAGCCUGCGGUUUAAUUGGACUCAACGCCGGAAAUCUCACCGGAUAGGACAGACAUAUGAUAGUCGGGCUGAAGACUCUACUUGAUGAUCUG
rnacentral:rRNA from 1 species